GCCAUCUCUUCACUGAGCCCACGGUAAGACCUUCUUUAAUGUGACCCACCCAUCCUCCUGUUGGGAUCCCACCAGGUACAGUAAAGUCACCCUCAACAGACAGGGACUAUCUGGAAGGUCGCUCUCUUCGUUCUCCCACCUCCACCUAGCAGCCCACAUUUAGCAACUGACUUCCAGAAAGAUCCACAGAGCAACCGCUCAGCGGGGUGAGAUCAGUCCUCCAACAGGCCCUCAACAAAGAAUGUUCCAACUGCAAGAUCCUGAAUAAACACGCUUCAGUUCUGCUCCUCGGGAACCGUAUUUGAGACGGGUGUCCCUGAGAGCGGACCUCAGAGGCAGGCUCUCAUCCCAGAGAUGGACCAAUAACCCAAUGACAAUGAAGAUCCUGCACUGGGAGCAGGUAGAGGUUGACAGCUCCAGGCAUUGGGUAGCAGCAUGUCACCUGAGCUAAA
rnacentral:lncRNA from 1 species